UAUCGUUUCCGUCUGCUCUGAGCGGCUAAUCGGCGACACUCAUUAUUUCCAGCGACGGGAAGCGCCCCGUCAGUCGGCCCGGAGACCAAGGCCGACCAACCGGCGGCGGCUCGCUCGGUUCCUAUCUCGCUGACCUCCACCGUUCGCCCACAGCAAAAACACUCGGCGAGGGUUAAGCAUGUAGGGAAGGUUAGAUCGUGAAAAACUGAACGUGGGAUCAGAUAAUGGGUUGACGACACACCAAGGGCAAACGACUGUCGGAGAGGUAUAAAACGGGCGCCAGACGCAGCAGCGGGACACUCCUCACACAGUCCACACCACGUUCGACAACACCCACUCUGCAACACUCCACUCAACAUGCACAACCUGCCCGCCAUCAUGACGCUGACCAGGGAGCCGAUUGGCUCGGCUUGGCGACAGCAGGCUGUUCUUUCGGCACUCUUCCGGCCUCUCCAAUAUCGGCAUACUCGAGUGCGAUAGCAACUCGAGUGGGACUGAUUUUCGGUCUUCUUUCGACACUCUUCCGUCUUCUUCGAUAUCAGCCUGUGCUAAUGCAACGGCUAUUCGUGCAGGACUGAUUUUCGGCCUUGUCUCGUUUAAUGACUCGAUCGCUUCCUUUUGACAUUUUGGUUUCGACCUUAUCUUUUGGCUCAUUUCAAUAUAUCUACUUUUAACUCAUGUUCACGUCUGUAUGGUGGAUGGUGUUGGGAACGAAGGAGGGAAAGGAUCCAGAAACACACAUAUAUCGAUCGCGUUUUCAUCAGUAAUACCCCUAGACAGCAUAUAGAGUAAAAGAUUGAAGAAUAUAAUCCCCUAGACAACACAUAGAGUAAUAUAGUGAAGGACACAAUCCCCUAGACAUACCUAGCGAUAAGAGCAGCAUAGCAGCAUAUACAAAGGGACAACUUUCAAAUUACAUUGGGGGCUCGUCCGGGAUAUCAAACUCUGUUCUGCUCGAACAGGACCCUGAUUGUAUAUGCCGUUGAUUCAUUGCAUGUUCUUGCUUGUAAAGUUUUCAGGUUCUUUGUUGUUCCAGAAUGAUUCGUGGAUCUUCGUUGGUGUAGCUUGCUGCUCGUGAUUCGUAAACUUUCCGUUUCACCGUGUUCGUGAAACAUGAAUUGACUGGUCAAAUUUGUGUAUUUCCAUUUCCAGUUACCUUUAUUUGAUGGCGAAUGGCUCGAGUUCCAGACUCUUAGGUUCGCCAGGCCAAUUGUUGGUCCGCAUGCUGCAUGGGCAACCUACAUCGGACGCACCGUCGAGGUCGCCAUCUCUUGAAGUUCAUUUGAUUCAGGUUAGUCUUGCUUACUUCUGUGGGUCUACUUACUUUGCCUUCUGGCGAUACGCUACUCGGUCGUAUACCUCGCAAAUCAAUUCGUUCGCAUCGUUGGCAUGACAGCAAAUGGCUAUUUAACUCAUGGUAUAAAUGAAUGUCCAGAUAUGCUCUAUGGAUUACAUCCAUUCGAUUCCUUUGACUUGAAUAUGUGUUCGGAUGAUACUUACUUGGUAUAAUUGAACUUUAUUAAGAAGUUGCCCGUAAGGCGCUCAUAUAAUGCCGACUUGGUGUUGUUGAGCUGGUCCGCUGGUUUGCUCUGAUAACAUCGACUUGGUGUUAUUGAGCUUUGUCUUGACCUUUAAUGCUCAGAUGUUACUGACUUGACUUUAGGGAACUAUAUAACACUGACUUCGUUGUCAUGGGACGUUCUGGUGAUACCGACUUGGUGUCAUUGAACUUUGGGGUAGUUGCCAUAGGAUGUCAGUGACCAGGUGCAUGGCAGCACAGUGGUCAGCUAGCGUGUUCGCGGCAAUAACCAUCCACAGAUAAAACAACGCGAGUUCGAUCAUCUGAUCGCCAAACCGGAUAUACCAUUCGAUCAGCUUUCAAGAUCGCGGAAAUAUCCCAUGAUCAAGGUUCCGGAGUUCAGAGGUUCGUUGUCAGAGGUCAGUUGACAUAACCUUACAUGGCCCUGACACAGUCCGAAGUGUCAUUGUGACUGAGUGGAUGGACGCCUCGCUGACAUGAUUAGAUAUUCAUGUGGGAUUUCAAUUGUUCUCCUGGUUGGUCGCUGAUAGAGUCUUAUUGCUAAGUUGUUGACAGAUGUUGACAAAGUACAUUGUACAAGAUUGGCUCAGUGUUUCAUAACUUGAGAUGUCAUUUAAAUUUGAGAGUACGACCAAUUUGUUCGUUGACAUUUUCUUGACACAGGAAUUUCCAUCUUUCAGAGCAUGUUACAGGUUUCCGGUAAGUCGAUUUCAGGUCAGGUAGUUCUCUCAAUGCUAGAUAUUUUGUCCCGCAGUAAAAAUAAGAUAUCGUUUUAGACGUUUACGGUCAACACUGGAUGGCAAUAUUUUAACUUCACUUUGGCUCAAAUAAGUUUGACUGAAUGAUAAACGCGAGGUAUUUGGCGGGUGAUGAUAUGCUGGGCCAGAAGUGUGAUUUUCCGUUAAUUGAGUAGGUCGUGCCGUCUACCUACGUCCCUGAGAGAAGGGCGAGUGCUAGGUAGGACGGGCAGCCUACUGACGUCUCUCGGAGGAGGGCGUCACAAGACCGUCUGCUCGCGGGGAGCAGGACGGCAGUCGCGGCCCGGACGCGUAGGAGCUGAGGAGAACUGGUGAUAGGGCCUGCCCCACCUAUCUACCAGAGUUGAGCAGCAUGGCAGAGGGUGGUCCUCUGGGGGUCCAUGCCCACCGAACAUACACCGGCCGGGUAUGGGUGGAAAUUCUCGGUCAGCUUACGCUCUAGGCAUAAGGGCUGGGCGUGCAGUGACGGGAGCAGCAGGUCACUGGCACAUGCGACACAACAAUCCAUGCUGAGGAGGUGUUCCUAGCAUGUGAAAAACGGAACCAUUUGAGCGUGUAAGGCGGCAAACCCCACCGCAAGUACACUGCUACCGGAGUACCUAUAAAGAGUCGAACACUCCAGCGAGUACAAGGAGAGGCCAGCAGCAAACCCGACCAACAGCUUGCUUGUUUGAAGGUGACGUCGAUAGAAAAUGUGUCUUAUAGGGUGAUGACGACUCGAUUGCUCGACUUUGUUGCACAGGUGCUGCAGGUACAGCAAACCCGACCAACAAUUUACUUGCUUCAGGAGGUGACCGCAGCAUCGAUAAGGAAGGUGGGUUGUUUUAUAUCCGAGAUAGGAUGACUCGGUUGACUUGUUUGGCACUGCUCAGGAGUUGCUGGAGCAGCAACCCGACUUACAGCUUAAUGACUUUGGAAGGUAGUCGCAGCAGUCGAUCGGAAAGGUGUGAUUCACAUUCAAGGUUAGAUGGUUAGAUGAUGAAUUGGUUGCUUGUUUCAUUGCACAGGUGUUGCAGAAGCAGCAAACCCGACCAACACCAUAAUUACUUUAAGAAUUGUACUUCAGGAAUUGACCAGUGUCGGAUAAUUGACCACAGUGUCGAUAAGACAGGUGUCUUAGGAAGAUGACUCGGUUGCUUUGCUUCGUUUGCACAGGUGUUGCAGAAGCAGCGAAACCGAUCGACGUUAACUUGUUUCAGAAGAUGACCGCAGCGUCGAUAAGAAAGGUGACUUGUUUGCUGUGCUUCGCUGCACAGAUGUUGCAAAAACAGCAAACCCGACAAACAGUUGAAAUGUGAGUAGACUUCAGGUGACUGCAGAGGGAAAGAUAGUGUUUAAGACGGUGGUUUUCGUCUCGUUUUAUCUCCAUUCCAUGGCAGGAGGUAGUACGACUCGAAUCCUUGCUUAGCUGCACUUUGCAAGUCAUAGCAAGUGCAAAACUCUUCAAGAGUCCAUCCCGUGGCUCAUCUCCAGAGUAGGAAGAAAGACAUAAAUGCUUCAUGUCCUGCUUCAUCGUGAAUUACUGUGUGGGUCUUGCAGUUGAGAUAACAAGGCAAAGAAAAAUAGUAAUUCGGCCGUCAGCAGUUACCAUGUGAGCUGACUGAAGCCGAAAGGUUUCGAUUUCAGCGCAGGAACGAGGCACGAGACGUCCCGAGGGAAGGUCUUUCCAGUAAAGCUAAACCGAGCAGAACCGCAACGGUAAGGGACAAUGCAACAUUAACGAAAUAUUUGCUUGAUUUCGUUGUCUCGACUUUCGAGUAACACUUAGGUUAAUGUUUUUAUAGCAAGAUUCUGGAGUAGCAUCAACUGUGCAAACUGACCACACAUUUCCCUGUGGAACGAUUUAAAAUAUGAACCCGAAAGCCUAUGCAGUUAGAACCUGCAAUCCUAUGUGAACUCGUUCAGCACUCAUGUGAAUCAUUUGGCAAUCCCAAAGCUGAACGAAGAGUCAACGUCAUAUUGAAUGGAAGGUGUACCAGUUACUGUGGUUGACUUUCGUUGUAUUGUCUGCAACAGACACCACGCUGCCGAGUGGAGGUCCUGAUGGAUUUAUCCAACCCUGCAUGGAGCGUCACCGUCUCGUGAGUGACCAGCGACGAUGAUGUCAGGUCACGAACAAAAGUAAGAACAACCCUUGAGAUCAAAAGAUCAAAGCCAACGGGCAUGUGCUCACUUGUUAAAGUCAAGCAGACGAGUUUGCUACAAUCUGCUUCAGCGUAUGCAUGAAGGUCGUGAUAAGGGUCAGUUGGUGCUCGAGGUAUAAGUUGUGGUGAAGCAACAAUCUUGUGCAUUGCCUUGAAACUAGAUCCAGCGACAUGGAUCUGUGCAGACCAAAAGAUGCGCGGGCCUAGAACCGGCAUAGACAAUAGGACAAACUGCUCGUGUGCUGCGAUGCUUGCAUCGUCUGGUCCCUCCCAAUGUCCUCAGGUCAUUGGAGCCAGCAGCAGAGUGCGUCCUACACAGGUAUCGGAGAUACCAAAAGGUCUACAAGCACCACCAUUCUCUCGGCAUGUCAGAUUGACUUCAGCCUCAACACCUCACCCGAGCCCUUAGGACCAACAUCUCGAUGCUGAGUGCUGCCAGAAGUCGGAAACGCAUCCUUCUGUUCUAACGGAGGCAAACGAUCACUCGCCCGUCGGUUGUAGCUUAUCUCCUCCAGGUGUGGCGGCCAUAAAGCAGACGGAUGGACCCAUCACGUUAUCACUCGUGAGUUUUUAAAGUCGAAGCCCGUAUUGGGAAUCGUUAACAAGCGUACCCUUUACAUUGCACGACUGACGACAUGCUCCUUUGUAAAUCGUUUCCGGUAAACCACGAAAUUCCCAUCCCAGAAACAGUCCACAGGUCAGUAGCAAGCAGAUGUGGUUCCCAGAAUAGCUUAAACAUAAAUGUAAAUGCGUAUUGAUUGCCUUCUUCCAGGAUUUUGUAUCCGGUAGCGUCAGCACAACCAUGGUGCACUGCUAAGGAUUAUGUAAGUCGUAGGGACUUAUGAUUUUAUGGCCAAUCAAGCUAUUUAGUAAUUAUGUACUUUUCUAGUGUCAUAUUUGACAAAAGAGUUGUCAAAAGAGUAAAAAUAGUUUGAGAUAGAGUGGUCUCAUUUACCUUUGCCUUAAAGUCAAAAUGUGUCGGACUCAGUCAGACUGUAAACAUGAAAUUACAUACGUAUACCCGUUCACCCCCUAAGGUUACAGUUCUUCGUUCGCCGUAAAAAUGGGAGGGAUAUGAGAAAUAUCGUUUCCGUCUGCUCUGAGCGGCUAAUCGGCGACACUCAUUAUUUCCAGCGACGGGAAGCGCCCCGUCAGUCGGCCCGGAGACCAAGGCCGACCAACCGGCGGCGGCUCGCUCGGUUCCUAUCUCGCUGACCUCCACCGUUCGCCCACAGCAAAAACACUCGGCGAGGGUUAAGCAUGUAGGGAAGGUUAGAUCGUGAAAAACUGAACGUGGGAUCAGAUAAUGGGUUGACGACACACCAAGGGCAAACGACUGUCGGAGAGGUAUAAAACGGGCGCCAGACGCAGCAGCGGGACACUCCUCACACAGUCCACACCACGUUCGACAACACCCACUCUGCAACACUCCACUCAACAUGCACAAGUAAGUACCUACGUAAGAAUGACUCAGACCAGACGGUCUGCCCCAGCCAGCUCUCUUGGAGCUGUGCUGUGGGGACAAGGUGACGUGACGUCUUCUAGGAAGUCCGUUUAACUUGCCGAACUAUUCGGUAUAUGGUUGAACUGUUUGUUUUGUCUUUCGGCUAAUCAUUCGGUUAUCUCUUUCGCCCUUUUUUGGUGACCGUUGACCGCCGUUGUCCGGUCUCACUGCGCUGUUUGUGUUUCAGCCUGCCCGCCAUCAUGACGCUGACCAGGGAGCCGAUUGGCUCGGCUUGGCGACAGCAGGCUGUUCUUUCGGCACUCUUCCGGCCUCUCCAAUAUCGGCAUACUCGAGUGCGAUAGCAACUCGAGUGGGACUGAUUUUCGGUCUUCUUUCGACACUCUUCCGUCUUCUUCGAUAUCAGCCUGUGCUAAUGCAACGGCUAUUCGUGCAGGACUGAUUUUCGGCCUUGUCUCGUUUAAUGACUCGAUCGCUUCCUUUUGACAUUUUGGUUUCGACCUUAUCUUUUGGCUCAUUUCAAUAUAUCUACUUUUAACUCA
rnacentral:lncRNA from 1 species